GGCCUGGUAUCCGAAUUGGUAUAGGACCCUGACUUAGAAUCAGGUUUUUGUGGGUUCGAGUCCCACCUAGGCCA
rnacentral:tRNA from 1 species